rnacentral:rRNA from 1 species
UCACAUGUCUAUCAUAUAAAUUAUAUAUUAAUAAAACAAUUAACACUUAUAAAAAUUAUUAAUUCCUAAGUACUAUAAAGGAAAUAAUAAACAAAUUAAAGUAAUGAUAAUAUCAUGUACCUUUUGCAUUAUGGUUUUACAAGCUAAAAAUUAAUAACUCUUUCCCGAAUUCUAAGAGAGCUGUCUUAUAAUUGCUGAGAGCCCACUACUAGUUGUAGCACCAACUUUAAAAAAUAAUAAGACAGAGGCUACAUACCACUCGCGCUAGAAAAUUGCUGGUUCUUGAUAAACCUUAUAUAUUAAAACAUGAAAUAAUAUUUCAAUGUAAAAUUUCAGAGGAUAAGCCCUGCAAUUAUACGCCAAUGACUAACAUUAAACAAAAUUAGGCCUAAAAUCAGCCAUAAAAACUACUUUACCGUAAUCUAUAUUUUAAUAAAUAAUUAAAUUGCUUCUUAAAAAUCAAGAAUUUACACAAAUCUUAUAUUUAAAUUUAUUAUGUAAAAAUAAGUAUUAAACUUUAAUAUCACUAAAUUGUAAACCUACUAUUUAUAAAGGAACUCAGCAAAUCUAAAUUUCGACUGUU